GGAGGAGAGCGACGGUUGAGGGGAGGUGUGGUCGUAUUCGUCUUCAACGGCGAUGUUGUUGAGGUUGAGUGUGAUGUUCGUCGGAAGGUCGUUGACGACCGGAUCUGGCAUCGUCGGUAGAGCGACUGGAAGUUCGACGACACGCGUCGUGAUUUGGAAGCAGCUUUUGGCAGUGUUGUGUUCGUGGGUGUAUCGAUCUCCUCUUCCUUCUAUUUUUUUUUUUUUUUGAAUCCAAGUGUUUACGAAAUUGAAUUAUAUUCUUUUGAUUUAUGUUUUGGAAUUGUGAAUGAAUGUUAGUGAAGGUAUGGAAAGUUUUAUGAAGAUGAUGUUAACGUUGAACGAAAAUUGGUUUCUAGAGGUAAUUGAUUUUCUUGAAAAGUUGUUUAUUGGUGUUGAGAUAAUGGCAUUUAUAGAAGAAUAACAAAACUAGGAUUUGACUUUUGACUCAAAGAUAGAAAAAAGGUUCUGUGUAGAUUGCAGUAUGUGAAGUUUUUACUUGUGUGAGAGGAAUAGAUAUGUGUAGUGAUAUGUGUAAGAAUUGGUGGAAUUGUGUUAUGCUUGUAGUGAGAGUAUUGUGGUUUGAGAGGAGAAUUUUGCUUCUGCAAAAUACGGAAGAGUUAUCUUCUUUAGACUGGUUUUUUUUUAUUUGGUUUAUAUCGUGUACUUUAGUGUCCCCUAUUCACUGAUGUAGAGUUUUUUUUAAUAUAAUGGGACAAUCUUCCAUGCUAAUUUAUUUCUUUGAUUUCUCCCACUCUUAAUAUUAGAAAUUAUUUCAAUGUUGA
rnacentral:lncRNA from 1 species